AUUGAACGCUGGCGGCAGGCCUAACACAUGCAAGUCGAGCGGAUGAAGGGAGCUUGCUCCUGGAUUCAGCGGCGGACGGGUGAGUAAUGCCUAGGAAUCUGCCUGGUAGUGGGGGAUAACGUCCGGAAACGGGCGCUAAUACCGCAUACGUCCUGAGGGAGAAAGUGGGGGAUCUUCGGACCUCACGCUAUCAGAUGAGCCUAGGUCGGAUUAGCUAGUUGGUGGGGUAAAGGCCUACCAAGGCGACGAUCCGUAACUGGUCUGAGAGGAUGAUCAGUCACCUGGGAACGUGGACAGGGUCCAGGGUCCUACGGGAGGCAGCAGUGGGGAAUAUUGGACAAUGGGCGAAAGCCUGAUCCAGCCAUGCCGCGUGUGUGAAGAAGGUCUUCGGAUUGUAAAGCACUUUAAGUUGGGAGGAAGGGCAGUAAGUUAAUACCUUGCUGUUUUGACGUUACCAACAGAAUAAGCACCGGCUAACUUCGUG
rnacentral:rRNA from 1 species